UACGGGGGGAGCAAGCGUUGUUCGGAUUUACUGGGCGUAAAGGGCGCGUAGGCGGCCAGCACAAGUCAGUUGUGAAAUCUCCGGGCUUAACUCGGAAAGGUCAACUGAUACUGUGCGGCUAGAGUGCAGAAGGGGCAACUGGAAUUCUCGGUGUAGCGGUGAAAUGCGUAGAUAUCGAGAGGAACACCUGCGGCGAAGGCGGGUUGCUGGGCUGAUACUGACGCUGAGGCGCGAAAGCCAGGGGAGCGAACGGG
rnacentral:rRNA from 1 species